AGUAACGCGUGAGCAAUCUGCCUUUAGAUGGGGGAUAACAGCCGGAAACGGCUGCUAAUACCGCAUAAUGCAACGGGACCGCAUGGUUCUGCUGCCAAAGAUUUAUUGUCCAAAGAUGAGCUCGCGUCUGAUUAGCCAGUUGGCGGGGUAACGGCCCACCAAAGCGACGAUCAGUAGCCGGACUGAGAGGUUGAACGGCCACAUUGGGACUGAGACACGGCCCAGACUCCUACGGAAGGCAGCAG
rnacentral:rRNA from 1 species